CAAUGACGACGAGUUCGACCACGAGCGAGCCGUCAACCACCACUCCAACGACUCCCGUGCCCAAUUUUGCUGGUGGAAUUGUCGGAAGUGGCGGUGCUUGUUCCAGAUUUCCCUGGACGACGACCGCAAUCGCCUUCUUCAUCGUCCAUUCCGCUACCGCCGACCACCUCGACGCUGUACAUUUCCGGUGUCGAAGACGAUCAAGAUCUAGUCCGACUGGAUGGCGUCGUCGUUGGUGUCGGCAAAGAAAACGGACGCGAUCAAAAUGGCGAUCUCAUUACCACUCCCGGUUCCCGGUGCGACCGGGCACAUGGAAACUUGGAUUUAUUUGGUGAUAGAGUCGGAUGGUUUUCCUGAAGUUGCAGUUUGAAAUAACCUUUCAAAGCCUAAACUCAUCUUCGUAGAAAGGGACUUGUGAAAAGUAACGCUGGCUCUGUAAAUGUUCUUGGUUGGGGGCAAGACAUUGAAUAAAUUGUGAUAUGGGAUGGACAACAUGGAAUUCCUACACUUUAUUCAUAUUCCCCAAACGGUAUUUAAAAUUCAAAAAUUAAAGUGCAUAUCUGGGCUCCCUUCUUUUCUGUGGCCCCGUUUCCCUUAAAUUUUUAAUAAGCCCGUAGGGGGUCAUGCCCCUAUUGUACGGUAUAUAUAAAAACAACAUAUACCGAGGU